rnacentral:rRNA from 1 species
ACGAAUCAUCUGGAAAGAUGAAUCAAAGAAGGUAAUAAUCCUGUAGUCGAAAAUGUUGUCUCUCUUGAGUGGAUCCUGAGUACGACGGAGCACGUGAAAUUCCGUCGGAAUCUGGGAGGACCAUCUCCUAAGGCUAAAUACUCUCUAGUGACCGAUAGUGAACCAGUACCGUGAGGGAAAGGUGAAAAGCACCCCGGAAGGGGAGUGAAAUAGAACCUGAAACCGUGUGCUUACAAGUAGUCAGAGCCCGUUAAUGGGUGAUGGCGUGCCUUUUGUAGAAUGAACCGGCGAGUUACGAUUUGAUGCAAGGUUAAGCAGUAAAUGUGGAGCCGUAGCGAAAGCGAGUCUGAAUAGGGCGUUUAGUAUUUGGUCGUAGACCCGAAACCAGGUGAUCUACCCUUGGUCAGGUUGAAGUUCAGGUAACACUGAAUGGAGGACCGAACCGACUUACGUUGAAAAGUGAGCGGAUGAACUGAGGGUAGCGGAGAAAUUCCAAUCGAACCUGGAGAUAGCUGGUUCUCUCCGAAAUAGCUUUAGGGCUAGCCUCAAGUGAUGAUUAUUGGAGGUAGAGCACUGUUUGGACGAGGGGCCCCUCUCGGGUUACCGAAUUCAGACAAACUCCGAAUGCCAAUUAAUUUAACUUGGGAGUCAGAACAUGGGUGAUAAGGUCCGUGUUCGAAAGGGAAACAGCCCAGACCACCAGCUAAGGUCCCAAAAUAUAUGUUAAGUGGAAAAGGAUGUGGCGUUGCCCAGACAACUAGGAUGUUGGCUUAGAAGCAGCCAUCAUUUAAAGAGUGCGUAAUAGCUCACUAGUCGAGUGACACUGCGCCGAAAAUGUACCGGGGCUAAACAUAUUACCGAAGCUGUGGAUUGUCCUUUGGACAAUGGUAGGAGAGCGUUCUAAGGGCGUUGAAGCAUGAUCGUAAGGACAUGUGGAGCGCUUAGAAGUGAGAAUGCCGGUGUGAGUAGCGAAAGACGGGUGAGAAUCCCGUCCACCGAUUGACUAAGGUUUCCAGAGGAAGGCUCGUCCGCUCUGGGUUAGUCGGGUCCUAAGCUGAGGCCGACAGGCGUAGGCGAUGGAUAACAGGUUGAUAUUCCUGUACCACCUAUAAUCGUUUUAAUCGAUGGGGGGACGCAGUAGGAUAGGCGAAGCGUGCGAUUGGAUUGCACGUCUAAGCAGUAAGGCUGAGUAUUAGGCAAAUCCGGUACUCGUUAAGGCUGAGC